rfam:Candidate division WWE3 bacterium GW2011_GWC2_41_23 TT55_C0012, whole genome shotgun sequence.
UGGGGGAUCGUCUAAUGGUAGGACUUUGCACUCUGGAUGCAAAAAUUGGGGUUCGAAUCCCUGUCCCCCAG